rnacentral:lncRNA from 1 species
GGUGACGUUUUCGCACCGGUACGCUAAUCCCAGAAUGGCUUAAAGGGCUAGGUGUCUUUGUUCCAGAAUGUCUCGAUCUGGUUAGUCUUUGCGACUUUAUCGAUAAGCCCCAGGUCUCCCGUUUUUCUCCUUCUCCUCUGGACGUCCGGUCUCGAUGGAUUCACACCGUUCAUCAGUUGAUCCAGUUCUUGAACUCCUGCAUAUCGAUAUGCAACUCCGUUGGGGGCACAAAGUGGCAAGAGACUGGCCCCCAGCCUCAGGUCGUCGUCAGACAACUCGUGUUUGAGACUCGGAGUAUCGUACUGUUCACUUCCAACCCUGGAACUGUCGUCCAUGAUUCCACGGUCCAGAAUCCACAUCGUAUUUUUCCCUUUCUCGAGACUUAUUCUGCUGCCUGGCUAGUGCAGACCAGUGAUGGACUUCGCACAUACCCAAAUAGCCAGUCGAGUUUAAUAAUUAAGCCUUUGUAUAGUUACUCUGUAACAUAAGUGUUAUAAUCAGAUGUAUCAAUUAGAAACCCCACCAACUGACUGGCUGUUUGACACCACCACUAUUGUGACGCUGUUAGUAUUUACAAAUGAGAUACGGAGCGCCAAUUUAUGUGCAAUAACCUUAGUCUAAUGCGUCGAUGCUAUGUCUAGACGAUUUAGCGAUGUUCUGCUUUCAUUGUUUCGAGACUUGAUUUCGAGGGAACGAAUAUACUAUUGCUGUUGUCCUGGGUUGAGGUAAUUAGAAAUAAGCCUACACUCUGCAUUCCGUGUCCGGCUGGUGGCUAGGCAUUGUGUGAAUAUCGCAUGCACUCCUAGGUUCUUAGUGGGGAAGUUGAAAGCCUACCCUUGACGAUACAUACUGCUUGAUUCGUAGUGAUUGGAAAUUGCUAUACUUCCACUUUUCUUGAACGGAUGGAGAUCCAUCAUCUCGAAGUUGAUCCCGCAUAUAAUUGCCCUAGUUCCAAGACCCACCUCAAUCUUCGAGGAAUUUUCCUGCCGAUUGCUGUUCUUGUCCGUAAGCUUACCAUUUUAGGAAGG